rnacentral:lncRNA from 1 species
GGAGGGGGGGGGGGGGUAUUGAGGCUCUAAACUUGUGAAACAAGACAUGGGAAUGCCCUUUUAUAGGCACAAUGAGGUACAACUUCAGAUUUUUUAUUUUACACAUUAAUCCUUCUUUUUAUUCAGUUUUACUCAUUUAGUCCCCUCUUUUUUAACUUAUAUCUUAUGUUACUAUCCUAAAUUUACUAAAAUUUGAACUAGGCCCUAUUUUAGAAGGAUCUAGGAAAUUCUAGUUUAUGUUUCUAUUUAUGGAUUACUGAGAUUACCCCUCUUUUAUUCUGAAAUCCACUAGACUACAAUAACCUUCUUACCUUAUAUCAGCUAUCAACCAAUAGACCUUAAAUCACCCUAAACAAACUCAACUAAUCAGAAAAUUGGAAUAAUUAAAAACAAAGAAGUGAUACUGAAGUGCAGAACAAUUACACUAAACUAAAGAAGAUCUUAAAACAAAUUUAACCAAAACAAAAAUUAGGCUGCCAGAAUCAAAACAGAGAUUAUUAUCUAUGCUUAUGCUAAAUCAGAAAAUUGAAGGGACAUCUAUUGAAUUAAAACUAAUCAAUCAACAAAACUACAAUCAAACUAAUGAGAUGGGAUGGAUUAAUUCAAAUGAGUAACUAUUGUGGCACAGAUUGAACCAAAUAAACACAGAAAGCAAACAAACUAGACUCCAACUAAUUAAAAUAACUAACUAAUUAAAAGAAACACUAAGGACCAAGGAAACUCAAGGACCAAUUUUCAGAUUCAAAACUCGACUGACUCCACUGAGGUUCGAGGGCCAAUGACGUUGAAUUCAUCAUAAAGGGAGGAAGGAGACCCUAGGUAUCAAUCUGGUGUAAUUUGGAGAAACUAGAAUUUUGGCCGGAACUUCAAAUUGAUAUUCGAGAAGUUCCGACCAUAUUCGAGGGAAGUGAAUUAGAUAUUUGGGAUAAGGGGGUUGAUGCGGUGCUGUGGUGUUAAUUUGGUCAAAUUUGUGAAAACUUGAGUCUUGGCCGGAAAAUCUCAAUCUAAUAUUCGACGGGUUCUGGGUAUGUUUGAGGGAAAUUAUUUGCAGAUUUGGAAAGAGGGGGGCGAGGGAACUUAAGGGUGUAGAUUUGGGGUGGUUUAGAGACGGGCCGCCGGCAGUGAUGAUUUCCGGACAGCGUUAGGUUAGAGGCUCUGAAGGGGUUUGGAGAUGAUAGUUGAGGCGGUAAGCGGGCCUUCCGACAUUUUAAUAUCAAGUGAUCCCCGCUUCGUG